rnacentral:rRNA from 1 species
UACGAAGGGAGCUAGCGUUGUUCGGAAUCACUGGGCGUAAAGCGCACGUAGGCGGAUGUGUCAGUCAGGGGUGAAAUCCCGGAGCUCAACUUCGGAACUGCCUUUGAUACAGCACGUCUUGAGUCCGAUAGAGGUGGGUGGAAUUCCUAGUGUAGAGGUGAAAUUCGUAGAUAUUAGGAAGAACACCGGUGGCGAAGGCGGCCCACUGGGCAUCGGUGAC